rnacentral:rRNA from 1 species
AAUCAACGCUGGCGGCGUGCCUCAGACAUGCAAGUCGAACGAUUAAAGCUCUCUUCGGAGAGUGUAUAGAGUGGCGCACGGGUGAGUAACACGUAAGUAAUCUACCUUCGAGUGGGGAAUAACACCGAGAAAUCGGUGCUAAUACCGCAUAAUGCAGCGGCAUCGCAAGAUGACAGUUGUUAAAGAAUUUAUUCGCUUGAAGAGGAGCUUGCGGCAGAUUAGCUAGUUGGUAAGGUAAUGGCUUACCAAGGCUACGAUCUGUAACCGGUCUAAGGAGGACGGUCGGUCACAC